UGGGGAAUUUUGCACAAUGGGCGCAAGCCUGAUGCAGCGACGCCGCGUGAGGGAUGAAGGCCUUCGGGUUGUAAACCUUUUUCGCUCAUGGUCAAGCCGCAGCUUUGGGUUGUGGUGAGGGUAGUGGGUAAAGAAGCGCCGGCUAACUACGUGCCAGCAGCCGCGGUAAAACGUAGGGCGCGAGCGUUGUCCGGAAUUAUUGGGCGUAAAGGGCUUGGAGGCGGUUGGCCGCGUCUGCCGUGAAAUCCUCUGGCUUAACUGGGGGCGUGCGGUGGGUACGGGUUGACUUGAGUGCGGUAGGGGAGACUGGAAUUCCUGGUGUAGCGGUGGAAUGCGCAGAUAUCAGGAGGAACACCGGUGGCGAAGGCGGGUCUCUGGGCCGUUACUGACGCUGAGGAGCGAAAGCGUGGGGAGCGAACAGG
rnacentral:rRNA from 1 species